rnacentral:rRNA from 1 species
GAUGAACGCUAGCUACAGGCUUAACACAUGCAAGUCGAGGGGCAGCAUGAUUGAAGCUUGCUUCAAUCGAUGGCGACCGGCGCACGGGUGAGUAACACGUAUCCAACCUGCCGAUAACUCGGGGAUAGCCUUUCGAAAGAAAGAUUAAUACCCGAUAGCAUAGUAUUUCCGCAUGGUUUCACUAUUAAAGAACUUCGGUUAUCGAUGGGGAUGCGUUCCAUUAGCUUGUUGGCGGGGUAACGGCCCACCAAGGCUUCGAUGGAUAGGGGUUCUGAGAGGAAGGUCCCCCACAUUGGAACUGAGACACGGUCCAA